UACGGAGGAUGCGAGCGUUAUCCGGAUUUAUUGGGUUUAAAGGGUGCGCAGGCGGUCUGUUAAGUCAGCGGUCAAAGCCCGGGGCUCAACCCCGGCCCGUCGUUGAAACUGGCAGUCUCGAGUUGGAGAGAAGUAUGCGGAAUGCGCGGUGUAGCGGUGAAAUGCAUAGAUAUCGCGCAGAACUCCGAUUGCGAAGGCAGCAUGCCGGCUCCACACUGACGCUGAGGCACGAAGCGU
rnacentral:rRNA from 1 species